GACGAACGCUGGCGGCGUGCUUAACACAUGCAAGUCGAGCGGUAAGGCCCUUUCGGGGGUACACGAGCGGCGAACGGGUGAGUAACACGUGGGUGACCUGCCCUCAGCUCUGGGAUAAGCCUGGGAAACCGGGUCUAAUACUGGAUAUGACUCCAUGACGCAUGUUGUGGGGUGGAAAGCCUUGUGCGGCUGAGGAUGGGCCCGCGGCCUAUCAGCUUGUUGGUGGGGUGAGGCCUACCAAGGCGACGAGGGUGCCGGCCUGAGAGGGCGACCGGCCACACGUGGGACUGAGACACGGCCCAGACUCCGUACGGGAGGCAGCAGGUGGGGAAUCUUGCGCAAUGGGCGAAAGCCUGACGCAGCGACGCCGCGUGAGGA
rnacentral:rRNA from 1 species